CCAAUAGCGUAUAUUAAAGUUGUUGCAGUUAAAAAGCUCGUAGUUGAAUUUCGGGGUUAGUAGGUUGGUCAUGCCUCUGGUAUGUACUGGUCUCACUGAUUCCUCCUUCCUGAUGAGCCGUAAUGCCAUUAAUUUGGUGUUGCGGGGAAUUUGGACUGUUACUUUGAAAACAUUAGAGUGUUUAAAGCAAGCCAACGCUUGAAUACAUUAGCAUGGAAUAAUGAAAUAGGACGUUCGAUCCUAUUUUGUUGGUUUCUAGGAUUGACGUAAUGAUUAAUAGGGAUAGGUGGGGGCAUUAGUAUUCAAUUGUCAGAGGUGAAAUUCUUGGAUUUAUUGAAGACUAACUACUGCGAAAGCAUUUGCCAAGGAUGUUUUCAUUAAUCAAGAACGAAAGUUAGGGGAUCGAAGACGAUCAGAUACCGUCGUAGUCUUAACCAUAAACUAUGCCGACUAGGGAUCGGAUGAUGUUAAUUUUUUAAUGACUCAUUCGGCGCCUUACG
rnacentral:rRNA from 1 species